rnacentral:rRNA from 1 species
UACGUAGGGUGCAAGCGUUGUCCGGAAUUAUUGGGCGUAAAGGGCUCGUAGGCGGUCUGUCGCGUCGGGAGUGAAAACUCAGGGCUUAACCCGGAGCCUGCUUCCGAUACGGGCAGACUAGAGGUAUGCAGGGGAGAACGGAAUUCCCGGUGUAGUGGUGAAAUGCGUAGAUAUCGGGAGGAACACCAGUGGCGAAGGCGACUACCUGGCCCAUUCUUGACGCUGAGGCGCGAAAGCUAGGGGAGCGAACGGG